ACGUAGGUGGCGAGCGUUGUCCGGAAUUAUUGGGCGUAAAGCGCGCGCAGGUGGUUAUACAAGUCUCAUUUAAAAGUGCUGAGCUCAACUCAGUGAUGGGUGAGAAACUGUAUGACUUGAGUGCAGGAGGGGUAGGCGGAAUUCCUAGUGGAGGGGUGAAAUGCGUAGAUAUGAGGAGGAAGACCGAGGGCGAAGGCGGCAAACGGGACUGGAACUGACGCUCAGGCGCGAAAUUGUGGGUAGCCAACAG
rnacentral:rRNA from 1 species